AAUCAACGCUGGCGGCGUGCCUCAGACAUGCAAGUCGAACGAUUAAAGCUCUCUUCGGAGAGUGCAUAGAGUGGCGCACGGGUGAGUAACACGUAAGUAAUCUACCCUCGAGUGGGGAAUAACAACCGGAAACGGUUGCUAAUACCGCAUAAUGCAGCGGCACCGCAAGGUGGCAGUUGUUAAAGAUUUAUCGCUUGAGGAGGAGCUUGCGGCAGAUAGCUAGUUGGUAAGGUAAUGGCUUACCAAGGCUACGAUCUGUAACCGGUCUAAGAGGACGGUCGGUCACACUGACACUGAAUAACGGGUCAGACUCCUACGGGAGGCAGCAGUCGGGAAUUUUGGGCAAUGGCGAAAGCCUGACCCAGCAACGCCGCGUGAAGGAUGAAGUAUUUCGGUAU
rnacentral:rRNA from 1 species